AUUUACUGGUCGCUCAAAGUCGCCGGAAUCUGGGCAGUGUCGCCGGAGAAGUUGCAGCUUCUUGUUCUUCGCGAUUUCUUACCCAGAACUUGUCUAAUUUCGCCCAGAAUUAAUAUAUGAUCUUCCAGAAACAAAAUGGGACAGGUUUGGAGUGAUUUGGAUGAGAGGAAAAGGAGAAUCGAAGAUAUGAAGUUUUGGAGCUUAAAUCUUGAAUUUGAGAAGGGCUAAGAGCUUCUCAUUCUGCCUCUCACGUUUCUGAACCUAAUACUAAUGCCCUAGGACCUCAAGAGCUUCAGAAUGCACAGCAUGCCAGAGACGGUGACCGGAGAUGCGUUUUCCACGGGUUUUGAGCGAGGUGGUACAAUGGGCAGAUGAGUCUCGCUUCCAGAAAGAGAAUGGUGGUGGUUUCGUGCAGUGGGUCGAUCGGACGGAGGAGGAAAUGGCAUUUACUUGUCGCUCAAAGGCGCCGGAAUCUGGGCAGUGUAGCCGGAGAAGGUGCGGGUUAACAAAAUGGGACAGGUUUGGAGUGAUUUGGAUGAGAGGAAAAGGAGAAUCGAAGAUAUGAAGUUUUGGAGCUUAAAUCUUGAAUUUGAGAAGGGCUAAGAGCUUCUCAUUCUGCCUCUCACGUUUCUGAACCUAAUACUAAUGCC
rnacentral:lncRNA from 1 species